rnacentral:lncRNA from 1 species
UGGAUGGAAAAGCAGGGCAUUAUGGAUGAAGGCGACAAUAGUGGCAAGAAAUCGGUCGAAGGGGAAAUUGUGGUGGAAACCCAUGAGGCAGAACUGGAGGGGACAUCUCAUGAGUAGGCGAAGAAGGUGAAAUUGCCAUCGUUCGAGGGGAGCGACCCUCUUGGGUGGAUAGCACAAGCCGAAAAAUUCUGAGGUUCAACAAGUGAACCUCACAGAAAAGCUGAGGUCAGCAUUUAUCGGCAUGGAUAGCAAUGUUGUACAUUGGUACUAGUAUUGGCGAAAAAAUGCCAAGAACCUUACUUGGAAGGAAUUC